GACGAACGCUGGCGGCGUGCUUAACACAUGCAAGUCGAACGGUGAACGAGGGAGCUUGCUCCCUCCGGAUCAGUGGCGAACGGGUGAGUAACACGUGAGCAAUCUGCCCCGAACUCUGGGAUAAGCGUUGGAAACGACGUCUAAUACCGGAUACGACGCGGGAGGGCAUCCUCUCCGCGUGGAAAGAACUUCGGUUCGGGAUGAGCUCGCGGCCUAUCAGCUUGUUGGUGAGGUAACGGCUCACCAAGGCGACAACGGGUAGCCGGCCUGAGAGGGUGACCGGCCACACUGGGACUGAGACACGGCCCAGACUCCUACGGGAGGCAGCAGUGGGGAAUAUUGCACAAUGGGCGCAAGCCUGAUGCAGCAACGCCGCGUGAGGGACGACGGCCUUCGGGUUGUAAACCUCUUUUAGCAGGGAAAAAGCGAAAGUGACGGUACCUGCAGAAAAAGCACCGGCUAACUACGUG
rnacentral:rRNA from 1 species